CGCUGGCGGCAUGCCUUACACAUGCAAGUCGAACGGCAGCACGGAGCUUGCUCUGGUGGCGAGUGGCGAACGGGUAAGUAAUAUAUCGGAACGUACCCAGGAGUGGGGGAUAACGUAGCGAAAGUUACGCUAAUACCGCAUACGACCCAAGGGUGAAAGUGGGGGAUCGCAAGACCUCAUGCUCAUGGAGCGGCCGAUAUCUGAUUAGCUAGUUGGUGGGGUAAAGGCCUACCAAGGCAACGAUCAGUAGCUGGUCUGAGAGGACGACCAGCCACACUGGAACUGAGACACGGUCCAGACUCCUACGGGAGGCAGCAGUGGGGAAUUUUGGACAAUGGGGGCAACCCUGAUCCAGCAAUGCCGCGUGAGUGAAGAAGGCCUUCGGGUUGUAAAGCUCUUUUGUCAGGGAAGAAAAGGUCGCAGCUAAUAUCUGUGGCUCAUGACGGUACCUGAAGAAUAAGCACCGGCU
rnacentral:rRNA from 1 species